rnacentral:rRNA from 1 species
UACGUAGGGUGCGAGCGUUGUCCGGAAUUAUUGGGCGUAAAGAGCUCGUAGGCGGCCUGUCGCGUCGGAUGUGAAAGCCCGGGGCUUAACCCCGGGUCUGCAUUCGAUACGGGCAGGCUAGAGUGUGGUAGGGGAGAUCGGAAUUCCUGGUGUAGCGGUGAAAUGCGCAGAUAUCAGGAGGAGCACCGGUGGCGAAGGCGGAUCUCUGGGCCAUUACUGACGCUGAGGAGCGAAAGCGUGGGGAGCGAACAGG